rnacentral:rRNA from 1 species
GCGGGCGUUCGUUAAUGUGUUAACUACGGCGAGUGAGCGGCAAAAGCUCAAAUUUGAAAUCUGGUACCUUCGGUGCCCGAGUUGUAAUUUGGAGAGGGCAACUUUGGGGCCGUUCCUUGUCUAUGUUCCUUGGAACAGGACGUCAUAGAGGGUGAGAAUCCCGUGUGGCGAGGAGUGCGGUUCUUUGUAAAGUGCCUUCGAAGAGUCGAGUUGUUUGGGAAUGCAGCUCUAAGUGGGUGGUAAAUUCCAUCUAAAGCUAAAUAUUGGCGAGAGACCGAUAGCGAACAAGUACAGUGAUGGAAAGAUGAAAAGAACUUUGAAAAGAGAGUGAAAAAGUACGUGAAAUUGUUGAAAGGGAAGGGCAUUUGAUCAGACAUGGUGUUUUGUGCCCUCUGCUCCUUGUGGGUAGGGGAAUCUCGCAUUUCACUGGGCCAGCAUCAGUUUUGGUGGCAGGAUAAAUCCAUAGGAAUGUAGCUUGCCUCGGUAAGUAUUAUAGCCUGUGGGAAUACUGCCAGCUGGGACUGAGGACUGCGACGUAAGUCAAGGAUGCUGGCAUAAUGGUUAUAUGCCGCCCGUCUUGAAACACGGACCA